UUCUAACUAGGGUUUUUUUCUACAAAAUUUUUUUCAUCUUUUAUUUAUUUUGAGAUGAGUUCUUGCUUUAAAACACUAGAAAUUUAGUUUCUUUAUGUGUUAUUGUUGAUUUGGCUUUCUUGACCCAUAACUAGUUUAUUUACUUUACAUUUCCUUCAUCCAUUUGUGUGAUUUGAUGGAUUUUCUGAUUUUUGGAUGUACAUUUUGAUGGAUCUAACUUGUUUAUCAUUUGUGAAAUUUGUUGGCAAUGAUCGGCGUCAAUUUCUGGCUUAAGAUUUUGUUUUUUCUCAUUAAAUUUAGGAAUUUUGUGGCAUUUUUUCUAGUCUAGAUAACAAAAUUUUAUGAAUAUAUCAUUUCAGCCUUGUCAUCUUUGUUGAUUUUAUGGAGAGAAUAAUACAUUGAAUUAUUUCUUGUUAUAAUUUUUACCAUCAACGGAUCAAAUUUUAAAGUCUUUUAACCACUCUGUUUGCUUUGGCUUGCUUGCUUCCUUUGAGCCAAACAUUCUUUUGGUCCCUUUAUCCAUUUGGUUUUACGCUAAUGAAAAACUUUGUUUAUUGUUUAUUUAGACAUUAUUUCUUCAUAGUAAUGAACCCAGCGUCAUACAAUGUAAGUUAAAAAGAUCUAGGUAUUAUCGUCUAGUUUUCAUUUAGAUACACCAAUAUUCUUCCACAUAAAUAGAAAUUGAAAUAUCUUUUCUCACAUGAAAGGCCACUUUAAGGACAAUGACAUCAACCCCAGCAAUUAAUGAUUGGGUGUUGCAAACAUUAACUCUUGAAAUAGGUGAGCACUAAUGAUUUUAAUGUAUGGUAUGAUUCUCUAAAUGUUUCGAAUGAUUGUUCCUAUCAUCAAAUUUUGAUCUUAAAUUUGUUUUAGCAUCAAAUUAUAUAUUAUACUAGCACCUAUAUCAGGUUAUUGCUUCAUAACUUUAGGUGACUAUCUAAGCCUAAGGAUUUUACCUAGAAAAUUUUGAAAUUACGUUUAAGAACCACAUUUAAUUUAUCUUGACAAGGAAUUCUAUGAAUGUGAGAUUGAUUGUGAGUUGUAUUUGUCUAAUAAAUUACUAUGUUAUUAGUUUAAAUUAAUCAUGUGUAUUUUGGCUUGUUAUCAACAUUUCAUAACCUUUUCUAUGCAUUUGUGUUUCAAUGAUGCAUGGGACCCUAACCCUAAAUAAUAGAGUGCAUGUAUGUGAUUUGUGUUUUGAUUGAAUGUGAUCCCUAAUACCAUGACCCCCCUCAACUUUACUAUGAGUAAUACUGUUCCAGAUGAUGAAAGGAAUGCCACUGCUAUUGUCACUUCUAGUCUAAGAGAAUCUCCUAGCUAGUCUAGCCAUAUUGAAUGUUAAAUAUGGUUCGUUUAAUUUUUUGCAUUCAAAGGCACCUACAAAAUGCUCCAAGUUCUUUAGAGCUUUGUGGAGAACUGCAGAUACUAUCAAAUUUUACAUUUGGAUUAAUUCCACUAACUCUAAUGCCACAUCUAUUUUGGAAGAUGCUUGGUGCUUUAAGAUCCCUGUAGCGUUGAAACGUACUUUACUGAACGUAAGUUUAGACAUUGCUUCCUUGCAUGUUUCAAACUUUGUAGUGAACUCUAAUUGGGAUAAGAACAAUUUAGGAAGCAUGUUUAAAGACAAUUUGACUAGCCUAUUUUGAAUUUCAAGUGGAUCUAAUUGAAAGAAAUAAUUGGGUCUGUUGUCUGCUACCCGAAUUCAAAUAGUAAUUAUCUGGUUUAUACAAUUUAUUUCUUCUUGAAUUGCAAAAGUACAAUGGAUCAUAGAUGGAAGGGUUAGGAAAGGAUUUGAAAACUAAAAGCUGCACCUAUAGUGCAAUUUUUCACUUGGUUAACUAUGCAUGGGAGAAUCAAAACAUUUCAAUUUUCGCAUGCCAUAAAUUUGGGUCCUACAGAAAUAUGUGUUUUUGUGGCCUUUGUUAUGAGAAUAUUAAUCAUAUUUUUAAUAUCUGUUUAAAACUCAAAGAGUGUUGAGGGAAGUUUGAUACAGAUUAGGCAAACACAUCUUCUUUGCUAAGGUCUUAGAUUCAAGAAAUUGGUUGGAAGGUAUUUCUUCUCCCACUUUUGACUUUGAAGCCACUACAUCAUGGCAUCUUUGUAUAGCCAGAUGUAAUUUGCUUUUCCAAAAAACCUGAUUUUCAAUGAAUUGUGGUUAGAGCUUUUGAUCAUGUGAAAGAAUACAUUAUUGUUUCUAAUUGCAAAAUGGAAAGGAGUGUUAUCAAUUCCAUGAGACAUGCACCUCAUUUUGGAUACAUGUUCUUUUCAAAUGCAUUCCGGAUUCACGAGUCUAGUGAAGAGGGUCCAGAAUUCUAGCAUUAAUAUGUUCCAACGAUAGAAAGCUUAUGAUAGAUAUCAUUUUCACUUAUUGUGUUCCCAUAUUGUGCUGCCAUAUUAAGAAUGGUAAUUGUGAUAAUAUUUGGAGUGUGAAGUAACAAGUGACAUCUUUUAAGCACUUGUUGGAGAAUACAAGUGCUCAUUUGGAGCUUAUACCUAUAGGCGGAUUGAUAACUAAGUGUAGAGUGACUCCAUUUCUAUCACAAAAGCAUAGAGCUUCCAAGAUGGAUUUUGAAGAGGGUUGCUCAACAAGGCUUUUAUUUUUAAAGUUUGUUUGUUUGUUCAAUGGUGUUUUAGUUUUUGGUUUGUAAUUUUGGCCCUUAUUUCUUUGGGUUUAAUAAACUAGCUGUAGUGGUAGCUCUUAUGACCACACACGCAUGCGUAGACACACACACAAUCCUCAUCCACACCUUAAGUAUCUCAAGGCACUGGUUUAAUAAGGAUAAUGAAAUUACUGUCACACAGAUACUCUGUCACAUUAUUUCAUUUUGCCAUGGAUAAUAUUGUCAAAUUUUUGACCAUAAUUAAAAUGCUAAGGGGGUGUUUGUUUCACUUCAUUUGAGGGGGAAGUUGUUAAAGUUUGAGAAGACACUUUAGGGUGUUUGUUUUACUUCAUUUUGAUCCGAAGUGGUUUGAUUUGACAUUUCCAAAUACCCCUCACUUCCUUUUUUGACUUCAGAGGGAAAAAAAAAUAUGAAGUCUAUUUCGGUCUUCAACUUCCCUCGAGCUAAAGUAUGCACUGUUAGCACGUGGUAUCACAUGGCCUCAAUGUGAUCACCCCCACUUCUAGCUUUUCUUCCCCAUUGCUAGGGUUUUGGCCUCUUUCACGAUUCUCACCUCUCUUCUCUAGUAGGCCCUCUUCUCCAUGCGUUGUUGUCGCUCAUUCACUUGUCUAUGGUUUCUUUGUUGCAGCAUCAUCAUCACUUUACCAUCGACCUUAAUUUUGUUGUCUUCUACUCUUUCCUUUCUUCUCUAAUAGGUGUCAUUUCUUCCCUAACCUGGUUUUUUUUAUUUGUGUUGAUGAUCCGUCAGCAUACUCUUCACUUUGCAUUAUUAUUUUAUUUUUUAUUUAUGUUUUAUGAUUUUCAAGCCCUAGUUGCCUUGUAAUCCAGCUAUUUCUAAGCAUAUGCCUUGUGGUGGCUUCAAUGUUUUAAGGUCACCCCUCUUCUCUGCAACCACCAAUUCGCCCUAUGUCCACUCCAUUAUGGGGUUCUUUUCAAAUCUAUUUGGAAAAUAGCCCAAGCUUGCUUUGCUAUAACAAGAUCAUCCCUGUCCUUUCCUAAAGCAAGAUAUUUUGCCUUAAUCUGGCAAUUGUCUCUUGGUAGCUUUGUUGUUGUAAGAUCAUUCUCCUCUUCUCCCACAUGCAGUUAUUUUUGUUGAUUUGCUUUGUUUUUUUUUCUUUUUUUCCUAAAUUGUGAUGUUGAUUUGUUUGAUAGCUUGUUUUACUCGUUUUGUAUCAUUUUUUGAUGUAUUUAUUUUUUCUAAUGUUGAUCUAUGCGAUAGAAUGGAUCCACCACAUUUUUUCCUGUGAUGUUGAUAUGUGUUGAUAUGUUGUUAUGUUCUUCUUAACAUGGUUUUCUUAAUAUCAUGCUUUCAUACGUAUGUGUGUAUAUAGCUAUUGUUAGAAUUUUUUUUUCUCUCUGAAUUUUUCCCAUGCAUGAGUUUUUUUUUAUUAUUAUUAUCAUGGUUUAUGAUGUACUUUUACCUUAUUAUGCAACAUAUCUUUAUUUUUCUGAUGAUCUACUGAACAACAUGCUGCCACAAUAUUUUGUUUGGCUUGGUUUUAAAUUUUUCCUCUGUCUUGGUUUCUUUUUAAGUCAAGCUAUUGCAAUGCAUAGUCUAUCUUCAUUGGUUUUCUAUUGAUAUUCUGAAAUAGAUUUGUAUUUCUCAUAAAUUUCUCUUGUUAUGCAAUGGAUCCUCAUUUUGUAUGCUUACCUCUUGUGCUUUUUUUUAAAAAAAAUUUCUUUUGUUUAUUUUGAAAUUUUUUAUCAGUGAAUUUUUUUCUGGUUAUCAUGGUUUCUUUUGUUGUUAUUGUGCAAUGUACCUAUUGGUGAUGUUAACAAUUCUGACUCUGUUGUGCAAUGGAUCCUCAUUUUUGUUGUACCAUAUCUGAUUUUGUGUGUGUAUUGUCAUGAGACAGUUAGACCACAAUGAAUGUUGGUCUCUGAUUGAUACUAGCUGAUGUCAAAGGUUUUUAUUUGUAGCAUCCAUUUGAAAAGAGAGAGAGAGAGAGAGAGAGAGAGAGAGAGAGAGAGAGAUUGUUUCACAUUUUAUAAGAAAAUAACUUCAUGCUAAAUUUUCUUGUUUCCUUGUUCUUGGCUUGUUGCACUUUGAUUUUAUUUGAAUAGAAUUUUACUUCCAAAAGGAAUUAAAUGACUUCUACUCUUGAUGGUUCUUAUGAUACUUGGGUACAAAGAGUUGUUCAAUAUACUUCUUCCUCAAUUUCUUUGAUUUUCCUUGUCAUUUUACUUAAUCAAUAUAUAUCCUACUAGUUAGUGAGAAUGCAUUAACAAUGAUUGCCACAACAAGAUUACCUAUUAUCAGAUUCUCUUAUUCGAUAUGAGAAGUAGCUCACAGAACUAAAACUCAUUUUGUACAAAUUAAAGUCAUUUGGUUUUUGAAUAUGUGAAAUGUUUUGCUAAUGUUACAUGCAAUUUGUUUUCCACAUGUGCUUCCACAUUAUUUUCUUUGGUUUGUUUUAAACUUUUUGCUUUGUAAAUUUUUCCCCUUGUGUUCAUGGUCUCAUAUAUCAUUGUCAUACUUUAUGAAUUUUCUGGCCUGCUUAUCAUGGUCUCUUCUUAUUGGGUCUUUUCUUCUUGUUAUCAUGCAUUUGAUGUAUAUAUGUGUGUGUGUAUAUAUAUAUGUACUACUAUAGAUGGGAUUUAUUUUCUCUCCUUAAAAUUUUGUUUCUAUUGUGUUAUGGUGGUUUUUGUUGUUGACAUUUUUUAUAUGUUGUGCAAUGGGUCCUCAUUUUUUAUGCUAACCUGCAGUGUUUCCACAUUAGAUUCUUUGGUUUGUUUUGAAAUGUUUACUCUCUUAUUUUCUUUUUUGUCAUGUUUUUCUAGCCUUUUGCUGUUGUCAUGGUUUCUUCUAAUGGACAUAUACAUAUACUUUUUCGUAUUAUUUUCCCUCAUUGAAUUGUUACCCUCUUGUAUUAUCAAGGCUUUAUAUUGUUAACAUGAAUGCUUUGUUGUGCAAUGGUGCCUCAGUUUUUAUGCUGACCUAUUCGACAGCAUACUUCCAUAUUAAUUUUGUUAAGAUUGGAUUGAAAUUUUUUGUGGUGUUGCCUGACUAUAAGACGUUAUGUGUCACCCCUUCAUAAUAUUAUUUUGUGGUAUGUUUUGUCUUAUAUUUUUGUUUUUCUACUAGACUACAUCUAUUUGUUUAUGUCAUUGGCUUCUUCACUUUUCAUCUACCAUGUACAUAUAUCAGGCUUAUUGUGGAUAGUGCUAUGAUUUAUUAAUAAGCUACAAAUAUGUAUUGCUUAACUUGUACUACUAAAUUGUAUUGCUAAGUGCUAUGAUCU